rnacentral:rRNA from 1 species
UCUGCGCCGAAAAUGUACCGGGGCUAAAUACACCACCGAAGCUGCGGAUUGAUACCAAUGGUAUCAGUGGUAGGGGAGCGUUCUAAGGACAGUGAAGUCAGACCGGAAGGACUGGUGGAGUGCUUAGAAGUGAGAAUGCCGGUAUGAGUAGCGAAAGACGGGUGAGAAUCCCGUCCACCGAAUGCCUAAGGUUUCCUGAGGAAGGCUCGUCCGCUCAGGGUUAGUCAGGACCUAAGCCGAGGCCGACAGGCGUAGGCGAUGGACAACAGGUUGAUAUUCCUGUACCACCUCUUUAUCGUUUGAGCAAUGGAGGGACGCAGAAGGAUAGAAGAAGCGUGCGAUUGGUUGUGCACGUCCAAGCAGUUAGGCUGAUAAGUAGGCAAAUCCGCUUAUCGUGAAGGCUGAGCUGUGAUGGGGAAGCUCCUUAUGGAGCGAAGUCUUUGAUUCCCCGCUGCCAAGAAAAGCUUCUAGCGAGAUAAAAGGUGCCUGUACCGCAAACCGACACAGGUAGGCGAGGAGAGAAUCCUAAGGUGUGCGAGAGAACUCUGGUUAAGGAACUCGGCAAAAUGACCCCGUAACUUCGGGAGAAGGGGUGCUUUCUUAACGGAAAGCCGCAGUGAAUAGGCCCAAGCGACUGUUUAGCAAAAACACAGCUCUCUGCGAAGCCGUAAGGCGAAGUAUAGGGGGUGACACCUGCCCGGUGCUGGAAGGUUAAGGAGAGGGGUUAGCGUAAGCGAAGCUCUGAACUGAAGCCCCAGUAAACGGCGGCCGUAACUAUAACGGUCCUAAGGUAGCGAAAUUCCUUGUCGGGUAAGUUCCGACCCGCACGAAAGGUGUAACGAUUUGGGCACUGUCUCAACCAGAGACUCGGUGAAAUUAUAGUACCUGUGAAGAUGCAGGUUACCCGCGACAGGACGGAAAGACCCCGUGGAGCUUUACUGUAGCCUGAUAUUGAAUUUUGGUACAGUUUGUACAGGAUAGGCGGGAGCCUUUGAAACCGGAGCGCUAGCUUCGGUGGAGGCGCUGGUGGGAUACCGCCCUGACUGUAUUGAAAUUCUAACCUACGGGUCUUAUCGACCCGGGAGACAGUGUCAGGUGGGCAGUUUGACUGGGGCGGUCGCCUCCUAAAGUGUAACGGAGGCGCCCAAAGGUUCCCUCAGAAUGGUUGGAAAUCAUUCGUAGAGUGCAAAGGCAUAAGGGAGCUUGACUGCGAGACCUACAAGUCGAGCAGGGACGAAAGUCGGGCUUAGUGAUCCGGUGGUUCCGCAUGGAAGGGCCAUCGCUCAACGGAUAAAAGCUACCCCGGGGAUAACAGGCUUAUCUCCCCCAAGAGUCCACAUCGACGGGGAGGUUUGGCACCUCGAUGUCGGCUCAUCGCAUCCUGGGGCUGUAGUCGGUCCCAAGGGUUGGGCUGUUCGCCCAUUAAAGCGGUACGCGAGCUGGGUUCAGAACGUCGUGAGACAGUUCGGUCCCUAUCCGUCGUGGGCGUAGGAAAUUUGAGAGGAGCUGUCCUUAGUACGAGAGGACCGGGAUGGACGCACCGCUGGUGUACCAGUUGUUCUGCCAAGGGCAUAGCUGGGUAGCUAUGUGCGGAAGGGAUAAGUGCUGAAAGCAUCUAAGCAUGAAGCCCCCCUCAAGAUGAGAUUUCCCAUAGCGUAAGCUAGUAAGAUCCCUGAAAGAUGAUCAGGUUGAUAGGUUCGAGGUGGAAGCAUGGUGA